ensembl:lncRNA
AUGUGGUCUUCCCGCCGUCACUGUCCGGCAGGGCGCUCCCUUCAUCCUGAGAUCGCGCUGCCCUGCCUUCUUGCGCAGCCUGCCCCUGGGUAGAGUCCUACACAGCGUGGGCAUCUCUGUUUCAACCACACUGCAUGCAGAGGGACACCAGGAUCAGUCCCUGCUCUCUGCCUCUGCGGGGGAAGAACAGAGGCCCUGCCCUUGGCCCCUGGCCUCCUCGCCCCACCCAGGAACCGCCUGACAGGGUCUCCUCCUGGUGGGGUAGAAGCCACCCCAGCCGUGGAGUGCAGGCGCCUUCUCCAACCAAACUGGCUCAGCCCAAAUUCUGCCCGCCUUCUCAUGCCACCAUGAAAAGAGCAAGCUCACCCGUGUGGCAGCCUAGGCCCCCAGGUGGGAACCACUCACCCUGUCAGCUGCUGACUCUGCCAGUGACUACAUUUCAGGGGCAGUGCCUGGUGCCAGGUAUGCGGGACAGGGGAUAAAUAUCUGGCCAAGAGAGAGAAGCACCCAGGGCUCCUUUCCAGUGCGCCCUGCCCUCCACCCUGGACCCUUCAGAGAUCAUCUCCAAGGCACAGCAAUGUGAGGACUCUGGCCACAGCCGCCAAACCAUCCUGCAGGGCUCAUUCCAGGCUCCUGCCCUGCAAGGUGCCAUGGCCCAUGCAGCCCCAGCUGCAGAAGGAGCAAGAGGACCACUUUUUCCGAAGGCUACAAUGGCCUCCCCCAGCCUGUUUACAGAAGAAAGAUUUUAAAGGAGUAACAAACAUGUAACGCGUUCUGCUUGUGCUGGCCUGUGCUUGUAACAUCCCUUCCUGUCCACUCCGGGGACAGCCAGGGUCUGCAGGAACCUCGGGACAAACACCCCUGACACCCUCCAGCUGGCCCUGUCCUCCACCAUGAGGCCUGCCCUGGCCCCACUCCCAUUAAAUGUGGCAGCACCGGCUGCUCUGUCCACAGCAUUCGCGGGGUGGCACACACAGGACCCUUCCUGUCCUGCUCUUCCUCUUGUCCUUCUAACACACCACACCAUCAAUUUACUAGGCCACAUAGAUGCUCCAUGAAUAUUUAUUGUCUAAAUGGAAGAAUCCUCACAGGAACCUUUGCAAGUAAGCACAGACCUUGUCUUCAUGAGGAAACUGAGGCAGAAAGAGGUUGGGUGACUUGCUCAGGGCCACACUAUGCUCGAGCCCAGUCUGUCCGACCCUUGCUCACCUGGGUGCUGCCCAGCAGUGACGAGUGUGGGCCACCCAUCUGGCACUGUCCUGCAGACCAGAUGGAGACUUGCCACCCAUACUGAGCAAUCGAGCAAGGACACGGUCUUCGCCUGCCUCAGUUUACUCAUUCAUGAAAUGGCACUGACUCUUAGAGUUGGGUGAGGACUCAGGAAGGUUGCUGUGGCCCACUUUGCCCAGCAUCUGCACUGGCAGGUGCUCCGUGGUGCCACCCUGCUGGGCUCCAGCUCUGAGAUCGCUGAUGAGCACCACCCAUGCUGUGAGUGUGGGCACUACUCACUGACUGAGGGCCAUGGGGCCAGCCCAGCAGGCUCGGGGGACACUGUAGAUCAGGGGGUGCCAUGAAUCAGGGGGCUCUAGCACUUCCUUGGGAAGGGAAUCUAGGACAAAUGCUGAAGUUCAUAGAGCCCAGCCUCGGGACUGGAGGAAUCUGGGGUUCUGCAAGGGGGGAGGGGGGUCACUUGUCACUGGUUCAUGGGACCCUGCAGGAGACGAGCCUAUGGUCAGAUGUUGGGCGACAGCUUCUUCUAUCUUGCUGACUGCAGGCAUGAAGAGGACAGGGCCCACCCCACCAGGUCCCCUUCCUCAGGUCCUCUCCAAGAGAAAGCUGCAUGCCAGCAGCACCACCCCCCACGCACCUUGGGGGGCCACAGCCUCUAAUCAACAUCACUGGGUAAUCAAUGUCCUCAUUUUUUGCCUCUAAAUGGCUCAGGAAGACAGUUGUUAAAUUCCCAUGUAGUCAUUCAAGGAAUCGCAGCCUUUGACGGGACCUCUAGUUGCUGAACUUGGGGGCGCACCCAGCCCCAUUCCUUCCUGUGGAUUCUCCAGCUGAGAGAAAAAUGGCACCGAGGCUCCACAGAGAAGCAGGCAACCCGGCCUCAUCCCGGCUGCUGCACUGGGAGGGUUUCCUGGAAAGAGAAUGCACUUUGAAGGAGAGAGGUGUUGGUGGAGUCAGGGGUGGGGGACAGCUCAGAACAGAUGAAUUAAACAUUCACUGAGCUCUUUGGAAGCAGCAGCUACCAAAGAGGGGAAAUGCUUUAAUUAAUAAAGCACAGCCAGGGAGAGGAAGCUGUUUUCUGAUGCUGAGCCUCAGGGGUCCAAGAACAGGAUAAACAGAGCAGAAGCCACUGCCCCCUGCCAGGGUUGUGCCAGGGAGGGCCAUGUGUCCCCUUGCAGGGCCUGCCAUCCACCCAGACCCAGGGAGGCAAGGCCUGUCCUUUCUUGGCUUCAAAGCUCAGACCAGAGGGAAGGCUACCCAAGUGUGAUGCUGCGUAAGUCAUUUCCUCUCUGGACCUUGGGUUUCUCACCCAUGGUUCUCACCCUGGGUCCUGGGGAGCCAUCAGGUUCCUGGAAGAUAUCUCAGAGAUGUCUUUGGGGACCAGGAUGCAGGCAGCUGGGGCUCUAGGAUCCAAGCCCCUUUAGCCAGAGAGGUUUUUCUUUUAUCACCUGAUAUCAGGCUUCAAGUAAGUUGUCCUUUGAAGAAAACAUGGCAGGUUUUUCUUAAAAAUUGAAAGCCACUGGCUUAGAUGUUUUCUCCUAUCUCUUCAGAAGCCUGGGCCGCAAAGUCAAACAAUUCCCCAUUGGCCAGUCAGCCAACAUCUGUCACAACCAAACACCCAGCCUGCACCAGAUGCUAGCACUCUCAAAGGAAGCUAAAGAGGCCCUAUCUUAUUUCUAGGGGCCUCCAAUCUAAUCCAAGUGCAGCAGAUAGAUGGUACAUGCAGCUUUGCCUCUGACUGUGCCCAUGGCAGACAUUACUAAUUGAUCACAGAGUUCAUCUGUGACCUCAUACCUUUCCCAACCUAGUGGUCCUCUGAGAAGCCUCUACCGAUUGAUUGGCCCAGGAGCAGAAAAUGAAUCCUCUCCAUUCCCUGUAUGUCUGCUCUAACAACAGAAGUUUCUCAAGGAUUUAAGCAAGAAUCUCACUAUUGAUCAUGUAUACAUUGGGUACUUAUUGAGCACCUACUGAAUGUCAGGUUCUAUUCUAGGAACAUAUUCAUUCCUCUGUAUCUUACAGCCAGGGAAAGACAUAGAUGAUAAACAUGUGCAGAAAUAUAAAAGUAAGAACAUCUCAGAGGGUGAAAAGUGAGGCAGAC